CUGCAAGAGGCACGAAGCUGUCCCUUGGCUGAGCACGAGGUGCCACCAGAGCAGACCCACAGACUGGUCUGUCCCUCACCUGCUGCUGCAGGAGCCAGGAGAGGAUGGACAGUCCUGGAUCAGCCCCUCGGUGCCGACAGCGCUUCCUGUGGAGAUCAGAGCAAUGAACAACUGGGCACUGCUGGAGCAGCAGGGAAACCUCUCCUGGGGGAUGUGGAGUCUUGGGCCCCUGAAGACUUGGAGAAAGACCUGAAAUUUCUGACUGACAUUGAACUAGACAGAUGGGAGAUGAUGCUGUGUAAGAGGAGGCCUUGCUCCAUUUGACCUGCAAGAGGUAGGAAAGGCUCAUGUAUAAGAAACUUCCUCAGAAAACAGCCUGAAAGGGGUUUACUUGGAAUAACUGGGAUCCACAAGUCAAUUUUAAACCUCAGGGGAUGUACAGAAUAUGAAAAA
rnacentral:lncRNA from 1 species